rnacentral:rRNA from 1 species
GACGAACGCUGGCGGCAUGCUUAACACAUGCAAGUCGAACGAAGUGGAGAACGGGUGAGUAAUACGUGGGUAACCUGCCCGCCUUUUUGGGAUAAGCCUUGGAAACGGGGUCUAAUAACGAAUUAAGGGGGCUGGGCUCGCGGACUAUCGGCUUGUUGGUGGGGUGAUGGCCUACCAAGGAGGUGACGGGUUGCCGGACUGAGAGGUUGACCGGCCACAUGGGGACUGAGAUACGGCCUAGAGUACUACGGGAUGGAGAAGUGUGGGAUAUUGCACAAUGGGCGAAAGCCUGAUGCAGCGACGCUGCGUGGGGUAUGAAGGCUGUCGAGUUGUAAACCUAUAUCGGUAUAGAACGGGUAGGUAGAGAGAAAGCGACGGCUAACUACGUGCCAGCCGCCGCGGUAAUAC